rnacentral:lncRNA from 1 species
CUCCGCUAUUCCAACCUGCAGUUCCUCGGCACCUUAGACAACGAUCCGGAGAUGCCCGUGGCAAGCGAGUACCAAGUGUACGACGAAACGGAUCGGUUCAACAAGGUGGUGAACGAGUUGAUGAACAGUACGGCGGAUUGGGCGGCGUACAACUCGACGAAGAGGUAUGCGACUGGGCUGGCGAUCAACGCGACACACGCGUUUCCAAAUAUAUAUGGCCUGGCGCAAUGCACUCCGGACAUGUCGGCGAGUGACUGCAGGCAAUGCUUGGAGGGAGUGUCACAGGGUCUCCCGAUGGGGAGAUUGAUAGCUGAAAAUCUGGGAGUGAGGUGCAAUUUAAGGUACAAAGUUGGCCCCUUCUUCGAAGGCAACCCCAUCAUAAGGCUUGUUUUCGCCGUGACGAAUGGAACAACGCCUGCGGAGAAUGCCACAACUCCGGCCUCUGCUCCAGCAUCGCAGCCAUCUGUCGGUUCAACCAGCAAAGAAGGUAAUGACGAACUCCAAGCGUCAUCAACUUUCCAACUAUAUAAAUUGCAUUGUAAAUAUUGAUUCUUGCCUUUUCCAUCAAAAGUUGUCCAUCCCAAUCUUUUGUUAUGUACAAUUGACUGUUCUUUUAUGCAAACACCAUCUUUAACUUUAAACAUAUAAAAGGUAUUCAUUGAUUUGUACUAUUGUCCUACAUAAAACUAAUCGAAAUAUGCAUCGAUAACACUAUACAUGUAAUUGCGACACUGUUACGAUAUAUACAGAACAUAAUUGCAGUAAAAGAUUCGAGAAAGACACAGAUAACAUUUCCGGUCAUAUGUAUUUCCCAUAUGUCCAAUGCUUUCAAAAUCACACAUGGAUAGACAAUUUAUUUUUUCCUUUUUCCUUUUGUGUCUACUAAUACAUUUCAUAACGGUGCAGGAAAAAAGAAAACAAUUCUAGCAAUUUCGAUAUCUGCGGUGAGCGCAGUACUGCUAAUCCCCAUUAUUUACAUUUGCUACAGGAGACUGAGGAAGCAGACAUCGAAAUCACCUUGUAAGUGACUCGAUCAUUUUUUUAAUGUGCUGUUUCCUUCAUUUCAAUCAUCUGGUGCUUGUGGAAAACCAUGUGUAACAUGCUCGAAAUUGUCAUAGAUGGGACUGAAUCGGAGCAGGCCACACAAGUUGAGUCAUUACUAUUUCAUAUUUCUUCACUACGAGCUGCAACAGCCAACUUCUCGGAAGAAAAUAAACUUGGAGAAGGUGGUUUCGGAGCAGUUUACAAGGUACAAUUCGAUAUGCUGAAUUCACUUCACAUUUAUCCUCUUGUUCCAUUCUUCCUCUUAAUCAUGAGAUAUUGUACAGGGAGUGCUCCCAGACGGACGAGAAAUCGCAGUGAAGAGGCUGCUGAACUCUGGGCACGGACUUGGAGAGCUUAAAAAUGAGUUGGUUUUGGUCGCUAAGCUCCGGCAUCGAAAUCUUGUAAAGCUUCUGGGAGUUUGCUUGGAGGAAGAGAAGAUGAUUGUCUAUGAAUACGUGCCUAACACAAGCCUCGACAAGUUUCUUUUUGGUGAUGAUUCGCCUUUCUCAUAUUUACUUCCUACACUCUUUAACGUAACAUGUUUGUCUUAAUUCCUUUUGCAUGCAACAGAUCCUGUCAGAGGCAAACAACUAAACUGGGGAACCCGACACAAGAUCAUUCAUGGGAUCGCUCGAGGACUGCUCUAUCUGCACGAGGAAUCUCAACUAAAAAUCGUACAUCGGGACAUAAAAGCCAGCAACAUCUUGUUAGAUGCAGAGAUGAACCCCAAGAUCACAGAUUUUGGUUUUGCAAAGCUUUUUGACGUUGACCAGACUCAAGCCACCACCAAUCGAGUUGUGGGCACUUUGUGAGUGGACUAACUAAAUUGUGUUCUCAGGGAGGAAGGAAGCUAUAUACUCUUUGCGUGCCUUGACCAACCUCACUUUUGGUUGCAGCGGAUAUAUGGCACCAGAGUAUGUGAUGCAUGGCAAGUAUUCGAUCAAAUCAGAUGUAUUCGGCUUCGGUGUUUUGGUUUUGGAGAUUUUGACUGGAAGAAAAAGCAGCGGUUCCUAUAAUCCUGAGGUUACCGAAGUCCUUCUAAGCUAUGUAAGUAGCCAAGUGGAUUCACAGGUCACAUUGAUUGCUUUUGCAUUUCUACUGAAGUAUUUUCCAAACAGAAUAAUCACAUAAAAGAAUGAAUUUGGAAUUAUAUUUUCUUCGAUGAAGACAUGGGAGAAAUGGCGGGGAGGAUCGGCGUUAGAGAUCGUAGAUCCAACCUUGGGUGCUCACUACCAACGAAGCGACCUAUUAAGAUGCAUGCAUAUUGGGCUUUUAUGUGUUCAAGAAAAGCCGAAUGAUAGGCCAACUAUGUCAACAGUGGUUGUGAUGCUAAAUAGUGAGACUGUCUCUCUCCGAGCUCCUUCACGGCCUGGAUUUUAUCUGGGAAAUGGUGGCAGGAAUGCAAACUUCAAUCCGAGUAACUCCAAUCAUCCAAUCGGUACAUCUGACCGAGGAAGUAAGUCAUGCCCAAUGUCAUCAAACGAAGUUUCAAUCACAGAAAUGGAACCUCGAUAGAAAUGGAAGGACAAUGUUAAUAUUUCUUCAACCACAUAGCCACGUACGCAUGUGAAUGUAAGGAUUCUUAUUCCUAUUUUUUGGUGUCAUUGUCGCACAAGAGAAUUACACAUUCGUAGAGCUAAAGUUUGAUUGUUAACAUAUAUAGCUUAAUUUUGCGAGUGGCCUUACUAAAUUGUGUACUCAUAGAAGUAUGUUCGGCGAAAUUCGUCGAAUAGGCCAACCAUGUCGAUAAUAGUUGUGAUGUUGAACACUGGAAUUGCCUCUCUGCAUGCUCCUGCAAGACCUGCAUUUUACGAGGGAAAUGAUGGCAUGAACGCAAACUUCAACUCGACUAACUCUAGUUUUCCGAUUGGUGUAUCUGAUCGAGAAUGUAUGCCAUUUCCAAUGUCGUCAAAUUGAGUUCUAAUCACAGAACAAGCGCACAGGACAUCGAUGUUUAAUGACCCUUUAUGUUUCUCCUGAUAUCGAUCGCAUCGACCAAAGUGUCGUAUGAUUGUCAACCGCAUUGGCUCCUCAGUGUCGUAUGAUUGUCACUUCAGCGUGACAUAUGAUUGUCGCACAUGGCCAAUAAAAGGCCGACACAUGACCAAAGUGUGGUCAACGGAUGAUCGACACAUCGGCAAUCACCCUCCCUAAUCGUAAUUGAUGAUGAAAGUAUUCGUCCGAGGAACUCACUGUAAAAUGGCCUUCUCAGGUAUGCUCCUUCUCAUCUUUUCCUAAUCGUCCGAGGAACUCACUGUAAAAUGGCCUUCUCAGGAAUGCUCCUUCUCAUCUUUUCCUAAUCGUCCGAGGAACUCACUGUAAAAUGGUCAGAAUCCUCUGUAACUUAAGUAUUGGAGUAGUGUUUAUCGACGAUGCUCCCGAUGUAGCUAUGCAAGGUUCAGCCUCAUUAGAGUCCAAUGAAUUUUGUACUUCAAGAUUGGACUUACUGUGAUCCUUUAUGUAGUGGCUUGGUAGUCAACACGAUUUGAGGUAGAUAUGAGAGCGAGAUUGAAGCAACGGUGGGUGUCUCCUGGGCUAGCCCCGGGAGAAGUUAGGAUUGCCUUUGGCGUUGAGUCCCGGCGUAACAGGUCGAUACCGAGGGAGGGAUUUUCGACUUGACCUCUCCGAAGUUUUGUACGAUCUUAAGCAUGACUGUGCAUCGUUCUCGAAUCUACUUCGUUGCUUCGAGGUCAUAUCGGGCGUGUACGCCAUAUCAACUCUAAGAUGCCAUAUUGAUUCCGAGGUGACUGUCGACUAUCAUUGUGAGGUGAUACCAAAAUAUUUCUUAUCAUGAUGAAUAUGGUAUUGGUUGAGAUCAACUUACAAAUGUGGAAUGAACCUUGAUUAACUCCAAAUCUAUACCUACAUCAAACAAUCAAAUUCUGCAUUAACAUGAUAAAAGAGAAUAAAAUUUUGAUUCAAUACAAAUUUGUUCCUAGUCCGAUUAAUAUGUUCAUCCAGCAAUAUCCCCUAAUAAAUGUUAUCCGAAAGUAAUUUAUAUAAGAAGGUGAUGGUGACUAACGACACAAAAAAUGAUUUUAAGGAUCUUAAUAAUUUAUAAUUCAUAUUGAAACAUCAAAAGUCAUUUAUAAAUAAAUUCAUGCUACAUAUAAUUUCGAAAACCGAACUUUUUUUCUUUUUUUUGAAAACCAAACUAAAAGUAGGGCAGAGUUAUGUUUCCUGGUCGUAUGCGCACGUGUCUAAUUCGCAGCGGUGUAGACUCCAAGAAAAGUUAAUUACCCAUUGACUCUGACCCAACGGAUCCAAAAUGAUAUCUUUCGGAGGCGGACUUGCAAAAACAGAGAGAAGAUAGUGGAAUGCAAUUAAGCAACGACAGCCGUAAACUUCCGAAGACAUCGAUUGUUCUCAGAGAGGGAGGGAGAUGCAGUUAAGCAAGAACCGUCCUGAUCUUCUAAUUUCACUUUUCUCAAUGCUAACGCUAGUGAUUCUGAUUCAGAAAUUUCUUUUAUUAAACAUGCAUGGCCUUGCUCAAGAUCAAUCUGACGUCGGAAAUCGUGUUUGUACAAGAUGAUAUAGUUAAAGCGAGAAAGAAAGCACAAAAUUAGCUGUGGAGAUGGUGUGAUUUCUUAUUCCGGAAUUUGAAUACACCUUUUUCUGUUCACAAGUUGAAUGAACUCGUUUCCACCGUGGGGCGUUGCUCAUGCAUACCGAUGACUCUAACACGGUUUACUUUAAUGUUGACGUUGACGACGACUGCUAUCAGCUGCCUGCAUUAUUCCGUCCGCCUAAUAAACUUUCGACUGAUGCUUUCGUGAGUAAUAUAAUAUAUUCAUGUUGUUAAUCCAAAAGGUCGUUCUCUGCUUCCUGUAGUAAGUACGACUGGACCUUUGAACAACUUUGAGAAUUUGCGACGGUGUUGCGUUGGAGAUCAAAUAAAAGUUUUGAGCAAGUUGCUGUUAUUUUACACCUUCUUCUUCUUCUUCCGAAUCUUGUCAACUGCGGUGCAUGUGCCUCCGUAGUCCAGACUUAGUCAACUAAAGUUGCGGGGUUUGACGAAAGAUUUUUUAGAUCUACUCUGGAAGAGUAGGAAAUUAAUUCUGUCAUGGAAGAUGAGUAACUCAAUAAAGAAAAUAAUAUAUAAUAAGUGAAAAAAAAUAAAAACAUUACUGUCCCGGAGACUUUCUCUAGUGAAUAUAUCCAAUAGAUUUGAACUUCAUCGUUGUCAGUUUUCAUCGUUAAGAUUGAUUCAGUCUUUCUGAAUUCUCUUGAGCCGAGUCAAUAAAAAGAGACGUGUUGCCAUAUUCGAUGCACCUACCGAAUACCACUAUGUUUCCCUCGAUCAGCUCCACCCAGUUUCUGCUCCUCUACCUCAUCCUCCUCUUCGUCCCCUCUCCGACCGUUGCCUUCACGUGGCAAGUUUGCAGCACAAGUGCCGGCAACUUUACUGCCAACAGCACGUAUGAGUCCAACCUCAACCUCCUCCUCUCCUCCCUCGUCUCCAACGGUUCCGCUCCUGGCUUCUUCACCGACACCAUCGGACGGAUACCCAACCAAGUUCAAGGCCUCGUCCUUUGUCGUGGUGAUACUAACGCCACCACCUGCAGCUCCUGCCUCAGCAACGGCGCGGUCGAGAUCCUCCAGCUCUGUGCCUACGACAAGGAUGCCGUGGUUUGGUAUGACGAGUGCCUCCUCCGCUUUUCCAACCUGCAGUUCCUCAGCACCUCAGACAACGACCCGACUGCUGCCUUGGAAAACGAGAUCGCCGUAAACGACGAAGCGGAUCGGUUCAACAAGGUGGUGAACGAGUUGCUCGACAGCACAGCGGAUUGGGCGGCGUAUAACUCGACGAAGAGGUACGCGACUGGGCAGGCGUUCAACGUGACGCUGGCGUUUCCAACUAUAUAUGCCCUGGCGCAAUGCACGCCGGACAUGUCGGCGAGCGACUGCAGGCAGUGUUUGGAAGGGGUGUCGCAGGGGCUCCCGAUGGCGAGAAUGGGAGCUAGGAAUCAGGGAGUGAGGUGCAAUUUAAGGUACGAGUCUAGCCUCUUCUUCCAAGGCAACCCCAUCAUACGGCUUAUUUCCCCUGCGACGAAUGCAACAACGCCUGUGGAUAAUGCCACAACUCCGGCCUCUGCUCCGGCAUCCCGGCCAUCUGUCGGUUCAACCAGCAAAGAAGGUAACGAUGAACUCUUAGCAUUAUCAACUUUCCAACUAUAUAUAUAAUGGAUUCUUGCCUUUUCCAUAUAAAGUGUUCUAUCCCGAUCUUUUAUUAUACAUAAGUAAUUGUUCUUUUAUGCAAACAGCAUCUUUGAGCAUAUAAAAGUUGUUCAUGGAUUUGUACUAUUGUUAUACAUAAAAUUAAUUGAAAUAUGCAUGGAUAGCAAUAUACAUAUAACUGAGACACCGUUACGAUAUAUACAGAACAUAUUCGAAUAUGUAGGGAAACAGAUGAUGGGCAAAGAUUCAAGAAACUGGUCGAUUAGGCACCACAGCGGAGUUUGUCGACAGAGACACGGAAGACAUUUACAGUCAUGUGUUCCUCAUAUGUCCAAUGAUUUCAAAAUCAGACGUGGAUAAACCAUUUUUUUCCCCUUUUUUUGUGUCUACUAAUACAUUUCAUCACGGUGCAGGAAAAAAGAAAACAAUUCUUGCAAUUUCGAUAUCUGCAGUGAGUGCGGUGCUGCUAAUCUCCAUUAUUUACGCUUGCUUCAAGAGAUUGAGGAAGCAGACACCGAAGCAACCUUGUAAGGGACUGUAUUAUUCCUGAUUUCCUCUCUCCUCCAUUGCAAUCGGCUAGCUCUCGAGGAAAACCAUUUGUGACAUGCUUGGAAUUGUUUGCUUUGUAAUAGAUGCAACUGACUCGGAGGAGGCCACACAAGUCGAAUCACUACUAUUUGAUCUAUCGACACUACGAGUUGCAACAGUCAACUUCUCGGAGGAAAAUAAACUUGGUGAAGGUGGUUUCGGAGCUGUUUACAAGGUGCAUCGACACGAUAUGCUCUUCAUAUUUCUAAUUCGGCACUCGAAUUCACUUGGCAUGCAUCCUCUUGUUCCAUUCUUCCUCUUAACCAUGAGGCAUUGUACAGGGACUGCUACCAGAUGGACGAGCAAUAGCAGUAAAGCGGCUGUUGAACUCUGGGCAAGGACUUGGAGAGCUUAAAAAUGAGUUGGCUUUGGUUGCUAAGCUCCAGCACCGGAAUCUCGUAAAGCUUCUAGGAGUUUGCUUGGAGGAAGAGAAGAUGAUCGUCUAUGAAUACGUGCCUAACACGAGCCUCGACAAAUUUCUUUUUGGUGAUUCGCCUUUCACAUAUUACUCGUUUUCUGUGUUACUUAUCUGCAGCUAAUUGGUAAAAAAGAACUGCAGCUAUCCAUUACUCGUCUUCUCCUCGUCUUAAUUCCUUUUUCAUGCAACAGAUCCUGCAAGAGGCGAACAACUAACUUGGGGAAUUCGAUACAAGAUCAUUUGUGGGAUCGCUAGGGGCCUGCUUUAUCUGCACGAGGAAUCUCAGCUAAAAAUCAUACAUCGAGAUCUAAAGGCCUGCAACAUCUUGUUGGAUGCAGAUAUGAACCCAAAGAUCUCAGAUUUCGGUUCAGCUAAGCUUUUCGAUGGCGAGCAAACUCAGGGCAUGACGAGUCGAGUUGUGGGAACCUUGUGAGUGGCCUGACAGACUGGACUAGUGUACUUGCAGCAUGCGGUAUCUAUAAUUUGUGCUUCCUAACUAAUCUUCACUUGGUUGCAGUGGAUACAUGGCACCAGAGUAUGUGAUCCAUGGCCAAUUUUCGAUCAAGUCAGAUGUGUUCAGCUUCGGUGUUCUGGUUUUGGAGAUUUUGACGGGAAGAAAAAACAGCACAGCUUGUAAUCCUGAAAAUACUGAAGACCUUCUAAGCUAUGUAAGUAACCAAGUGGUGUCGUAGAGUGCAGAUAUUGAUUGCUUAUUGGAUUUCCACGGAAGUCUUUUCGAAACAGAGAAUGAACUUGUAGAUAUGUUUUAUUUGAUGCAGACAUGGGAGAAAUGGCGAGGAGGAUCAGCCUUGGAGAUGGUAGAUCCAGCCUUGGGCAAUCAAUUCCAUGGGAGCGACCUGUUAAGAUGUAUGCAGAUUGGGCUAUUGUGUGUGCAGGAAAACCCGUUUGCCAGGCCUAGUAUGUCGACAGUCGCUGUGAUGCUAAGUAGUGCAACAGUGACUCUGCAAGCUCCUUCACAACCUGCAUUUUGUUAGAUAGGAUUUUAUUACAAAAAUAAAUCAUGAUAAGAUUAUCAUGAUUCUCUAAAUAUUUUGAUAAUAUGUUAUUAUGAUUUUAAGUCAUAAAAAUUAUGAUAACAUAUUAUCGUGAUUCCAUCAAAUAAUGAGGAUAUAAUAUUCUACAUCGUGAAAUGAUUUAGAUACAUGUUUUAUAUUUAUUAUUGAUCGAAAAAAUUAUGUAAUUAUCAUAUUUUGUAAUAUAUUUUUAUGUAUAUAAGUUCAUAUUCACUAUUAAUAAAAAAAUAAGCUAAUUAUUUCUUUCACAUUUUAUGUGGAAAAUAGUGGCACAAAAGCAAACUUCAAUUCGAAUAACUCCAAUAUAUAGGGGAGAGCCCUGCAUAAGCAUCGCAAUAUUAUAGGCACUCAAGCAGGGGGGAUGACCCGAGAUCAAGAUUGUCUCCAACUCCAAAGUUUGGAUGAAAUUUUACAACUACAAAGUUUGGAUGAAUCCCUCGACGCCUGCUUCAUCCGCACAGGAAUCUCAGCUUAAAAUGAUAUAUCUUCAUGACAUGCAUUUUAUGUGGGGAAGGAUAGAUUGAAUGCAAACUUCAAUUUAGAUACUGAGAGAGCUAAUGCUAUCGAAAGUUUCACUUACUAAUCUCGAGGAAUACAAUGUUCCAUUGUCGACCAGCCAAACCAGCUACUGUGUUUCAACAUGAAGCAAGAUCUGUGACUGUCUAUUGUCGAGGUUCCAGUACAGUAAUUGAGACUUCAUUUAUUGACGUUGAACUGCCUUCUCUCUCGUUCUUGAUUUCUGGAGACCUAUUUCCUGUGGAUUCAUUUGAAUCAGUGGUUCCACUUCUCUCAAUGAGAAAUCCAGGAGCAGAAGGAGAUGGAGUAGUCAUCGAGGAACUGCUCAGCAUGAGAACAACCGAUGCCAUGGUGGGUCUCUUCGAGGGGUUUUCUUGAACGCACAGUAACGUCGUGCGUAUGCAUCGCAAAGCUUCUUCCCUUUGAAACCUGCCACAUAAGUUUUGAUCCACUAUCUGCAACGCCUUCCCUUUGUUCCAGUACUUCCAUGCCUGUUUAACGCGUACAGUCGCUAAUAUGCAUUAGAAUCAUCAAUCAGUCAUCGAUCACAGAUUGCCACGAUCUCAUUGUCGAGUGAAGAGAGGAAAUGCUUACAUAGCUCUGCAGGUUUGCGCGAUGACCUGAUCCACGAAACUCGCUGAUUCUUCGACCAGUUAUAAUCUCAAGCACCAACACUCCGUAGCUGUACACAUCUGAUUUGUCCGAGAAGUGCCGAUGCAAAGCAUACUCUGGAGCAAUGUAUCCGCUGCACAAUGCCACAGAUGAACAGGGGGGACAACAACGGAGGUGCUUUUCAACUAAACGAAUUCAAAGUUUUGACUCACUUUGUUCCAACUAUUCGGCUAGCACUCUCUUUUGAUCUGUCUUGGUCGACCAACAGCUUUGAAAGACCAAAGUCAGAUAUCUUGGGGUUCAUGUGCUGAUCCAGCAAGAUAUUACCGGGUUUUAGAUCUCGAUGAAUAAUCCUUAGGCGGGAAUCCUCAUGAAGGUAAAGAAGUCCUCUUGCAAUCCCUUCGAUGAUCUUGUAGCGCCUUUCCCAGUUUAGUUGACCACAUUUUGUGGGAUCUGCUUCACCGUGGUUGAAUGAGUUCAUUGGCAAUUAGUUCAUUAGCAAUCUUACAGUAAAAGAAAAUGGCAUGGACACUAAUAGGAGCUCUUCGAUAAUACAUCCGUUAGCAUCUCAUUAAAAGCUUUGUUUUCAGAAAAUUAAGAAGAUGGAGGAGGAUCGUACCAAACAAAAUUUUGUCUAGGCUUCUGUUUGGGAGGAACUCAUAGACAAGUAGCUUCUCUUCUUCCGAGCAAAAACCGAUGAGCCUCACAAGAUUUCUAUGCUGAAGCUUAGCAAUAAAUGCAACCUCGUUUCUUAGCUCUGCAAAUCCUUGCUGUGAGCUUCUUGAGAGUCUUUUCACAGCUAUUUCCUGGCCACCUGAUAGUACGCCCUGUUCCAUAUUUUGGGUAAGACGAAGCACUGUUGUAAUUAAAUGUAGACAUAAAGUAUGCAGUGUUUACUGCAAAAAAGGAUAAACCACUGGCUUUAACCAUAUAUUUGACCUUAUAAACCGGUCCAAAUCCCCCUUCUCCAAGCUUGUUUGCGUCCGAGAAGUUAUUGGUUGCAACCUUCAGUGUCUCAAAAUCAAAUAACAGAGAGUUUGCCUUUUGACUUUUCGCUCCUCCAACAUCUGAUGAUCGUUAUAUAAAUUUUUUUGUUAAAAAAAAAAGAAUUGGUUUUGGCAAAAUUUUAACAUCUAAAUGAAUAAGAAACAAAAAACAUAGAUGGAGUCAAAUAAAUUUACAUACUCGACUUUCUGGCAAAUAUUUUCGUCCUCCACAAAAAAAUCAAAAGCGCAGCGACAAGCAUCACAGCACCGAGGAUGGGGAUGACGACAGCCACUACUAUUUUAGAGUUCUGCUUUUUUCCUGAAUUAAAACGAUAAACAACAUCUGAUGAAUAUUUCCAUCUUCUUAUAAUUAAAUUUUAAUUAUGUACAACUUGCAACAAUUGGUAGGAAAAUAUGGAUGAAUCGUUUGUAAUACAUAAUUUAAUUAUGUACUGUAACUUGCCUGCAUCUCUCGCUGAUGAUGACGAAGAGUUGGAGUCCACCACAGCAGGCGGAGGCGGUGGAUUGGCUGUAGCGCCAGGCGGAGGUGCCGAAGAGAGUGCAGAUGACAGCGGAGGCAGUGGAGAUGUCGGGACUGACAUAUUAUAGUAUGAAUAGGUCUCGUACCUCAAGAAGCACCUGUACUUCAACACCACUCCUCCCUGGUUUUUCCAGCAACAACUCUGCAUUGAAGCCAACGACUGCCGAAGACACUGAAAGCAGUCAUCAUCAGACUGAUCCCUGGUGCACUGCACCAAUCCAUACAGAUUGGUGAAGCUCGUAAAUUUGGCUUCUCCGAUGGCGAACAUGCUGUCCGUCUUGUAGGCAGCCCAGUUGAUGAGGGCAUUCAUCAAUUCCCCCACCAGAUCCACGAAUCUCGACGUCUCCGAAACUUCUCCUACGUUGUAUAAGAUUUGGGAAAAGGAUGAUUUGUUGCUCUCGGCCGAGAAAUUUGUGUUGGAGUAAGCAAGGAAGCAGUGAUCUCCCCAGGUAGCCGCAUCUUUUGCGUAGGGGCAGCGACUAUGGAGGGUGUCGACGGCGGUGGCGAGGCAAGCUUGGCAUUUAUCUUGAGAAACGUCGAGUUGGCAAAGCGCCAGGCCGAAUACUUGGUCUGGGGAACUCCCUGCAGAUCUGUUCGCGUAUCCGGAGGAGACGGUGGCCGAGGUGAGGGACGGGAGGAGGAGGUUGAGGUUGGAAUGGUAGGUGCUGUUGGUGGUAAAGUUGGAGUCUGUGGGACACCUUUCCCAUGAUACAGUGUGGCGUGCGUUAUAGAGGGAGAGGAGGAAGAGGAGCUGCGCAAGUAUCCGGAAGUAAUUCCAGGAAUGCAUCGUGCAACUGGUUGUCCUCCGUUGUUUUUGGGAUGCCGUGGAGAGAGCAUAGAGAGACGUAGCUAACUAUCUAUAAUAUAUUUGGAUCAAAGAUUAAUUUGCAUGGUCGCCGUAGUUUGUUUCAUUGUAGUACCGUCCAAUACACACUAGAAAACGUCGCACACAAAUGAUAUACUCACUGGGGUGGAAUUGGUCCAUGACAAGUUAGGUUCAGAGAAAUUUAUUUCAUAGCAAUGAUGGUCAUAUAAAGUUAGAUGACCGAAGAAUACGUGACAAUGGCUCGUUGUUCCUUUGAACGGCCACUUCGUUCAAAUGUAGAGGGAUCCGAGUCAAAAGGACUAGAAGGGGAUUCCUGUGAUUGAAGUGAUGCGAGUCUUGUUGACUUUGUUUCCACGCGUAGGACGCAAUGACGCGGAUCAACAACACUACAAUUUCUUAUCGAACGAAGACUCCCCAGCAAGAGAUGAUUUCGGCAAAACACCCAUUUACUGCAAGCGGCAAAAUACUUCUUUCUUCCUUGCGUGUCUUUUCGUCACAGAAAAUAGGAGGAAAGGACACCAAUGAGACCUGAUCCAAAAUUGGAUUUGACGCUAAUAAAAUAGCUUCCGUAGUGUAGAUAUAAGUUUACAAGAAAGAAAAUGAAUGUUUUAGUAAAUUAAGUUUCUAUUUCAUUCAGUCAAAUUAUCUUCUUUCAUUGAACUCUAAAAAUAUCAAUAAAAUAUUUACAAAAUAUUUUUAUAAAAUAUCAAUAAAAUUUAUUUUUCUAAAUAAAAAUCUCGGACAAUCACAAACUUCUUUUUAUGCGGGAGUUCAAGCUGUACCAAGUUAGUCCAACUUAUAAAUUUGAAGAUAAUGAAUUACUAGCUUCUUGGAAUAGAUGGGUGGCAAACGGUGUGCUUUUUUGUUAUAUUGAAUUAAUAGAGACUCGACAUAUGGAGUCCAAUCAAUUUUGUAUCGAUGAUGCAUCAACCAAGUGCAUCACUUCGGUAUGACAUUCAAAGAGAAUAUUCUUCGUGCUAAUACGAAGAAUCCUCCCCAAGUAUGUUUUGACUUGAGCAUUCUGAAUUUAUAUAAUUAAAAUAGAUAUAUCAAACUGCUCAUAAAUAUUUUUUUCUCGUAACGAACAAGCAAGCAAAGACUUGACUAACAAACACGUUUUGGAGAAUAAAUCAUCGGCAUAGUCUUCGGUAGAAACUAAGAAACCAAAAUAUGAAAUACAGAUAUCUUCUACUCUACUCUCAAAUUGAAGUUAGAUGCGAGAUAUAGAUAUUUUCCUGUCCUCAAAUAAAAUUUACCUCCAAUCAGUCUAAAUUGUUUUUCUUUAUUAAUACGACAACACUCAAAUAUGAACUAAACGGUGUGUUGUUUGUUUAUUUUUUGUGCCACAAUUGUUUCUGAAGGUAUAAAGAUGAUAUCUUAAUUUAAGAAGCUGGUUUUGUGAUGCAAGUGCUCAUUCGGGUUCAUGUUCUGCCAAGCAGGGACGACUGCGGGCAUGCAAGAUCAUUUGGCUUCGUAUCAUCGUUAUCAGGGCAGCUCGUUCUGAGAGUUUGUGCGUGUCAAGCCACUCGAAAGCAAGCGGACAGGCAAUCGCACAGGCCACCUCCGAUGGGAUGACCCAAUGUCGGCUGCUGUUUCAAGCACCGCGACACAUUCUAGGGUACAUCACAUUCACAACAGAAGAGGCUUUUGGGCUUUCUCGGCUUAAUGGCAAACCAAAAAGGUUUGAGCCAUAUGUUGGGUUCUUUGGCAGAUCAUCUGACAUUAUUCCAUCGAGUGCCGUCGUCAAUUUUGCCCGACCAAAGUUCUAUCGAUAAUAAUUAGCCAAAUCUGGAAAUGUUCUUAUGGAGGGCAAAAAGGAAAGAGUCAUCACAACUUUAGGAGAGAAAGCCAAAGAAUCCUCUAAAUGAUCCAAAGUCAUUCUUUUGUCAGAGAAUAAUAAAAUUCUCAUCAAAUCAUUUGAUGUAUCCAAAGUCAUUCUUUUGUAUCCAUUUUCUGUCAUAAAUGAAUCAAACUUUCUGUAUCACUGUCAAGCUUGCUUAAGCCAUACAAGCUCUUCCUCAACUUGCAAAUGAAGUUUUCUUUACCUUUGACUUUGAAGCCUUCUAGUUGCUCCAUAUAAAUUUUCUCCUCUAAGUCACCAUGAAGGAAAGUCGUCUUCAUAUCUAAAUGUUCAACCUCCAAGUCCUAGCUAGCAGUAAUACCAAGAGCAACAUGAAUAGAAGAUAUUUUAAUAACAGGAGAAAAAAUAUCUUCAAAAUCAAUAUAUUUCUUUUGACCAAAACCUUUCACAAUCAAUCUAGCUUUGUACUUUGGUUGAUGAAAAUAUUCUUGAGUCUUCAACCAAAAAAUUCACUUAUUCUUCAAAACCUUCAUUCCCUUUAGUAGUUACACCAAAUAAUAAGUGUGGUUCUUCGAGGCUUUCUAGACCUACCCAUUUCUCGUUUUAAUUCCUUUUUCAUGCAACAAAUCCUAUAAGAGGCGAACAACUAAUUUGGGGAAUUCGAUACAAGAUCAUUUAUGGGAUCGCUAAGGGCAUGCUUUAUUUGCACCGCCUGACACAUUGUCACUGGGUGGUACCACUACCCAAUCUGGUGGUACCAUUGCCUGAUAGCCUCGGAGACCGGGUUUUUCAAGUUUUCCAACUCACAAGCAGUUCCACCGCUUGACCCAACUUUUGGGUCACUAAAUGGGCCUUCGAAUGAGCCCAAAUUAGUCCUAAUUAAGGCCAAAUUGACCCCUAAUUGAGUUAGCAUGAUUACAUCGAAAGCUAACUCAAUUAGCCCCCUAGACUACUUCGAUCUUAGACAAAUGAUUAUAAAGCAUGAAUCCUUUGUUCGAUAUAUCAUUGGUUCAUCCGACACCUCGUUUGAUUCUUCGUCGUAUCAUCCUCUCUUGCGGUUUAUUGUUCAAUUGGCUAGUUGACCUUCGCAACUCCGAUUUCCUUGGCACAAUUUCCACUCUUCUUGGCCCGAAGCCUUCUACCGAUAUGUCGACCGAUCCUCUGGCUCGACGUCCAAUCUUCUGACAUGUUACACUCCGGCCCAACAUGAUUCUUCCUACUUUAAUCAAUUUAUCUCUCCUUGAUCAAAGCUAGUCCUAUAUCACUUAAAUUGCAGUUUAGAUCACAAACUCAUCAAUUGAUUUUAUCAUCAAAAUCCGAGGUUCAAUAAUCUCCCCUUUUUUUAUGAUGAGAACCAAUUGAUAACGAAGUUUAAACUAUACUCCCCCUAUUAAUAUGUCAUAUUGAAAUAAGACAUCAUUCAAAUAAACGAUGACCUUUUAGUCUAAGUUGAAACUAUUUUAAUCACAUCAUAUGCAAUACAUCAUAUACAUCAUCAUAAUAAAAUCAUGAGUAUUGCAUGCAAUACUUCAAAACAUAAUGUAUAUUUUCAAAAUCAUCAUUACAUGCAUGAUCAUCAUACAUAAUUUUAAAUUAUCAUUUUAGGCAUAAUAUGCAUGAUUAUCAUCAUAUAUUCUUCCCCUUUGUCAUUAACAAAAAGGAGAAAUGCAUCUACCAAGUUUUUGAGAUAUGCAAGUUUUAUAACAGAUAAACUAGCAACAAUUUUGAGUUGUGCAAGAUUACAAAUUUAGCUUCCUUUUUUUUUUGAGAUAGCAAGCUAGCAAUAUAGCAAUGCAUCAUUUUAGAAUAUCCAAUCUAGCAAUUUUUUGUCUUUCUAUGAAAUGUGCAAGCUAACAAGUUUUAACUUUUUCUUGAAUUGUGCAAGUUAGCAUAUUUUAUCUUUCCCUUUGUCAUUAUCAAAAAGAAGGGAAAAAUAUAAUUUUAUAAUUAUUUUUUCCUUUAUAUCAAUUUUCACAUAUUGACAAAGAUAAAUUUAAAACACAUGUGAUGAGGUAUAAAAUUUAUAAAUGCAAGGGAGUAUCAUAAAUAAAUCAUAUCAUGAAAGAUAUAAUAUCAAACAUCAUUUGAAUACCAAAAGACAUGAUUCAUUUUUGACAAAUCUCUUUUUUUGUAAAUAGCAAAAGGAAACGUAAGGAAAUGAUCUUGAUUUAAAAAGAACACUUAAGUCAAAAAAAUCAAGAAAUCAAGAUCAUGAUCUAAAAAUUGUAUAAGAAGAGUUUAUGCAUUUGAGAGACUUAAGUUUAUCAUUCAAGCUAGCAUUUUUUUUGUUCUCUUUUGCAAUGUGCAAACUAACAAUUUUUCUCUUAUUUUACAAUAAUAAUUCAAUCAUAUCAUAAGUUAUACAAAUCAUAAAUAUUUCAAAUCAUGAUGGUACCAAAAUGUCAAAUUAUAUCAUAUCAUGCAUGAUCAUAAUUUCUUAUUUGUAUGCAUCGAACAUAAUAUCAUGAGUAUUUCAUGCAUAAUUUCAUAUCAUCACAUGAAGAAUAUCAAGAAAAAAUAAUUGGGUGAUGAGAUAUAUACUUCGUGAAUACACGAGAGUCAUGAACCAAAUUUCAAAUUGUGAAUAUCAAAAAAUCAAAAGAAAAAUUAUGAUUCUUUUUUAAUGACUCAAAUAGCGAAAAGAAGAAUCAUAGUAUAUGAUCUUAAUUCAUUAAAAAAAAUCUCAUGUUAUAAUUAAAAAAAAAUCAAGAUCAUGUUAUAGAUAAGACUUAUUCAAAUUCAAAUAAUCAAAUCAUCAAAAUUAUUUUCAAGAGAUUCAAAAAGAAAACCAUAGAUAGAUCCAUUAAUCUCUCUUUUUUUCAUCAAUGAUUCAUUUUUAUCAUGAGAUAUACAAAUCAUAAUUACAAAGGAGUCAUAUAAAAAUCAUGAAAUAAAAGAUAUUAAUAUGAAACAUCAAUUCGUGAAUGAUUCAUCUUGAUAAAUCUCUUUUUUUGUAAAUAACGAAUAGAAUUGCAGGAGAUCAAAUAAAAUAUCUUGAUUCAAUUAAAUCUCAAAUUAAUAACGUCAAGAAUCAUGAUUCAUUUAGAUAAUUUUUUUCUUAGACAAGUAAAUCAUACACGAAUCAAAAAAAUAUUUCAUGUAAAAUACAUCUCAAGUCACAAACAUCGAUAAAUCAUUCGAUUGGAUAUAUCAUCUCAUUAUUAAAAUGGAUCAUAUGAAAAGAAAUCCAAAAUUAUCAUCAAAAUCACUUUUUAAAAAAUUUAAUAGAAGUAACAUAGAUAGAUUCCUAUAAGAUUAAAGAUUGUUCAAGUUCUUUUAGUUCCAAAUUUUGUGAUUGAUUUUAUGUUCAAGUCUUUCAUACAAAAGCCAUGUAUCAUCAUUUAUAAUCGAAAAGCAAUAUGAAAAUCAUAGAAAUCAUGAAGCUCAAUAAACCAUAAAUUACCGAAAAAUCAUCAUUACUUCAAAUCAUCAUGCAUAAUUAUAAAAUCAUUAAGCAUGAUACCAAAACUUUUUAACAUUUUCAUUAUAUCAUUAUAUCAUUAUGCAUCAUUAAAUCAUCAACAUGAUUUCAUUAAACAUGAAAUUUUAGUCAAAAUCAUUUUGUUUGUUAUAGUAAUACAUUUUUUUUAAGUGAAUCUAACUUUUUAUUCUUAGUUCUAGGAGUUAACAUGUAAUUAUCAUACUCAAAAUUUUAAUUAUUAUUAUUUUAAAAUCAUUAGAAAGAGAAGCGUGAUAAUUUUUUAUUUUUUAUACUAACUAAUUUAAAAAUAAUUCAUGAAAAGCAUCAAGUAAUUUCAAAAUAAGGUAAAGGAGAUUCGUUUAAGUUGUUUACCUCUUUGUCGAGAGUUAUCAAAGCGAAGUUCACAACUUCGUCUUCGGAUGCACUCAUUUCAUUCUCCACUAUCGCCUUGAGUGCUUUAUUCUUUGGUUGUGGACAUUUGCUUUUGAAGUGUUGCAGUCGAUUUCAUUCAUAGCAAGUUGUUUUGUCAUCUUUAAGUUUACUUUUAUUCUUUAAUUCUUGUUUUAUGAAUAUUUUAAAUUUUAUUGUUAGGAGUUCAAAAUCAUCAUCAUCAUCACCUGAGUUAUCACUUAAGUGAUAUUCUAUUGUUUGAAGUGCCAAAUCCUUUCUGUUUUUUGAAAAAUUAUUCUUAUGUUCGAUUUAUUCCAUACAACUCAUUUUAUAGGUCAUUAAAGAUCCGAUAAGUUCUUCAAAUGGAAAAUAGUUCAAAUCUUUCGCCUCUUGAAUGACCAUUACUUUAGGGUCCUAACUCUUUGGAAGGGAUCUCAAUAUUUUGUUAACGAGUUCAAAGUUAGAAAAACUUUUUCCAAACCUUUUUAAACUAUUGACGAUAUCCGUAAAAUGGGUAUACAUGCCAAUAAUAGUUUCACUUUUUUUUUCAUUCAAAAAAAUUUAAAAUCAUACAUUAAAAGAUUAAUCUUAAAAUCUUUUACUAUACUAGUGCCUUCGUGUGUGGUUUCAAGAGUGUGCUAAAUGUCAAAAGCGGUUUCACAAAUAGACACUUGAUUGAACUCAUUUUUAUCUAAAGAGCAAAACAAGGCAUUCAUCGCUAUGAUAUUUAAAGAGAAAGUCUUUUUCUCUAAAUCAUUUCAAUUGUUCAUUACGAGAGAAGACUUUUGAAAUCCGUUCUCAAUGAUAUUCCAUAAAUUAAAAUAUAAAAAAAGUAAGAAAACUCUCAUUCGAGCUUUCCAAUAUAUGUAGUCUGUCCCAUUGAACAUGGGAGGAUGAAUGAUAGAGUUACCCUCUUGAAAGCUAAAAAGAGUCAUUUCUCUUGAGUGUUAAACCAAACAAAAAAUAAUAUAAUUUUGAUACCAAUUGUCAGGAUCAAGAGCGACACUAAGAGGGGGUGAAUUAGUACAAUGGAAAAAUUACAUCGAUUUAAAAAUCUUUGUACGAUAAAAUUCGAGUUCGAUGAAAAUCGUUUCAGUUUUCUUGAAUGAGUUGAGAAGAGGGAAUUAGACAGUUAGUAAUAAAGUAAAGUUAAAUGCAAUAAAGAGAUUAAGUAGUAAGGAAUGAACACAUCGGAAUUUAUAGUGGUUCGAUCGUGUGAUCUAUAUCCACUUCUGAUUCCUCCUCCAUCGAGAUCAUCGUCGUCCACUAAUGGUCUUCUUCCAAUAGGCGAAGACUAACCACCUCUUUACAGUGCUUUUUCCUUUUCACGGGUUUAGAAGAUAACCCUUACAAGUCACUAUUUUACAAGUAUUCCCUCACACACCUCCCUUAGGACUAACUCUAAGUACUAGGAGGAGGGAACUCAAAGUUUUGAUAAAAUUUACUCAGUUUUUUCCUCAAGAAUUCUUGUCCCUUUUUUACUGCUCAAGUGGGGUAUUUAUAGGCCCCAAAUGGUUUAAAAAAAAGAGCCAAAAAUUUAAAUUUUUUAGUCUUCCGGGUACGGGCGGUACCAUCGCCUGCAAAGGGUGGUACCACCGCUUGCACUAGGCGGUACCACCACCUGCACUAGGCGGAACCAUCGCUUGUAGCCUGACACUAGGUGAUACCAUCGCCUGACACACUGUUACUAGGUGGUACCACUACUUGACAGCCUUGGAGACUAGGUUUUUCGAGUUUUCCAACUCAUAGGCGGUUCCACCAUCUAGUGGUGCCAUCGCUUGACCCAACUUUUGGGUUACUGAAUGGGCCUUCCAAUGAGCCCAAAUCAGUCCCAAUUAAGGUUCAAUUAACCCCUAAUUGAGUUAGCAUGAUUAUACUUAAAGAUAACUCAAUUAGCCCCCUAAAUUACUUCGAUCUUAAACAAAUGAUUACAAAGCAUGAAUCCUUUGUCCGGCAUGUCAUUGGUUCAUCCGGCACCUCGUCCGAUUCUUUGGCGCAUUGUUCUCUCUUAUGGCCUAUUACUCAAUCGGUCAGUUGACCUUCGUAACUCCGAUUUUCUUGAUACAAUUUUUACUCUUCUUGGCCCGAUGCCCGAACCCAUGGCCCGAAGCCUUCUGCUGAUACAUCGACCGAUCAUCCGACUCGAUAUCUAAUUUUAUGACAUGUUCCAUUCCGACCCAACAUGAUUUUUCAUAUUUUAAUCAAUUUGUCUCUCCUUGAUCGAAGCUAGUCUUGUGUCACUCAAAACGCAGAUUAAAUCAUAAACUAAUCAAUUGAUUUCAUCAUCAAAAUCCAAGAUUAUUAUCUCCAACUCCAAAGUUUGGAUGAAUUUUUACAACUCCAAAGUUUCGAUACAAUAUCCAACUCCAAAGUUUGGAUGAAUGUUGAAUCCCUUGACGCUUGCUUCAUCUGCACAGGAAUCUCAGCUUAAAAUGAUACAUCUUCAUGACGUGCAUUUUAUGUGGGGAAGGAUAGAUUGAAUGCCAAGUUCAAUUUAGAUAUUGAGAGAGUCAAUUCUAAUGCUAUCGAAAGUUUCACUUUCUAAUCNNNNNNNNNNNNNNNNNNNNNNNNNNNNNNNNNNNNNNNNNNNNNNNNNNNNNNNNNNNNNNNNNNNNNNNNNNNNNNNNNNNNNNNNNNNNNNNNNNNNNNNNNNNNNNNNNNNNNNNNNNNNNNNNNNNNNNNNNNNNNNNNNNNNNNNNNNNNNNNNNNNNNNNNNNNNNNNNNNNNNNNNNNNNNNNNNNNNNNNNNNNNNNNNNNNNNNNNNNNNNNNNNNNNNNNNNNNNNNNNNNNNNNNNNNNNNNNNNNNNNNNNNNNNNNNNNNNNNNNNNNNNNNNNNNNNNNNNNNNNNNNNNNNNNNNNNNNNNNNNNNNNNNNNNNNNNNNNNNNNNNNNNNNNNNNNNNNNNNNNNNNNNNNNNNNNNNNNNNNNNNNNNNNNNNNNNNNNNNNNNNNNNNNNNNNNNNNNNNNNNNNNNNNNNNNNNNNNNNNNNNNNNNNNNNNNNNNNNNNNNNNNNNNNNNNNNNNNNNNNNNNNNNNNNNNNNNNNNNNNNNNNNNNNNNNNNNNNNNNNNNNNNNNNNNNNNNNNNNNNNNNNNNNNNNNNNNNNNNNNNNNNNNNNNNNNNNNNNNNNNNNNNNNNNNNNNNNNNNNNNNNNNNNNNNNNNNNNNNNNNNNNNNNNNNNNNNNNNNNNNNGCAGUCAUCGAUCACAGAUUGCCACGAUCUCAGUGUCGAGUGAAGAGAGGAAAUGCUUACAUAGCUCUGCAGGUUUGCGCGAUGACCUGAUCCACGAAACUCGCUGAUUCUUCGACCAGUUAUAAUCUCAAGCACCAACACUCCGUAGCUGUACACAUCAGAUUUGUCCGAGAAGUGCCGAUGAAAAGCAUACUCUGGAGCAAUGUAUCCGCUGCACAAUGCCACAGAUGAACAGGGGGGACAACAACGGAGGAGCUUUUGAACUAAACGAAUUCAAAGUUUUGACUCACUUUGUUCCAACUAUUCGGCUAGCGCUCUCUUUUGAUCUGUCUUGGUCGACCAACAGCUUUGAAAGACCAAAGUCAGAUAUCUUGGGGUUCAUGUGCUGAUCCAGCAAGAUAUUACCGGGUUUUAGAUCUCGAUGAAUAAUCCUUAGGCGGGAAUCCUCAUGAAGGUAAAGGAGUCCUCUUGCAAUCCCUUCGAUGAUCUUGUAGCGCCUUUCCCAGUUUAGUUGACCACAUUUUGUGGGAUCUGCUUCACCGUGGUUGAAUGAGUUCAUUAGCAAUCUUACAGUAAAAGGAAAUGGCAUGGACACUAAUAGGAGCUCUUCGAUAAUACAUCCGUUAGCAUCUCAUUAAAAGCUUUGUUUUCAGAAAAUUAAGAAGAUGGAGGAGGAUCGUACCAAACAAAAUUUUGUCUAGGCUUCUGUUUGGGAGGAACUCAUAGACGAGUAGCUUCUCUUCUUCCGAGCAAAAACCGAUGAGCCUCACAAGAUUUCUAUGCUGAAGCUUAGCAACAAAUGCAACCUCGUUUCUUAGCUCUGCAAAUCCUUGCUGUGAGCUUCUUGCGAGUCUUUUCACAGCUAUUUCCCGGCCACCUGAUAGUACGCCCUGUUCCAUAUUUUGGGUAAGAUGAAGCACUGUUGUAAUUAAAUGUAGACAUAAAGUAUGCAGUGUUUACUGCAAAAAAGGAUAAACCACUGGCUUUAACCAUAUAUUUGACCUUAUAAACCGGUCCAAAUCCCCCUUCUCCAAGCUUGUUUGCGUCCGAGAAGUUGUUGGUUGCAACCUUCAGUGUCUCAAAAUCAAAUAACAGAGAGUUUGCCUUUUCACUUUUCGCUCCUCCAACAUCUGAUCGUUUUAUAAAUUUUGUUGUUAAACUAAAAAAAAUGAAUUGGUUUUGGUGAAUUUUUAACAUUUAAAUGAAUCAGAAACAAAAAACAUAGAUGGAGUCAAAAUAAAUUUACAUACUGGACUUUCUGGAAAAUAUUUUCGUCCUCCACAAAAAAAUCAAAAGCGCUGUCACAAGCAUCACAGCACCGAGGAUGGGGAUGACGACAGCCACUACUAUUUUAGAGUUCUGCUUUUUUCCUGAAUUAAAACGAUAAACAACAUCUGAUGAAUAUUUCCAUCUUCUUAUAAUUAAAUUUUAAUUGUGUACAACUUGCAACAAUUGGUAGGAAAAUAUGGAUGAAUCGUUUGUAAUUUAAUGCAUGUACAUAAUUUGAUUAUGUACUGUAACUUGCCUGCAUCUAUCGCAGAUGAUGACGAAGAGUUGGAGUCCACCACAGCAGGCGGAGGCGGUGGAUUGGCCGUAGCUCCAGGCGGAGGUGCUGAAGAGAGUGCAGAUGACAGCGGAGGCAGUGGGGAUGUGGGGACUGACAUAUUAUAGUAUGAAUAGGUCUCGUACCUCAAGUAGCACCUGUACUUCAACACCACCCCUCCCUGGUUUUUCCCGCAACAACCCUGCAUUAAACCCAACGACUGCCGAAGACACAGAAAGCAGUCAUCAUCAGACUGAUCCCUGGUGCACUGCACCAAUCCAUAAACUUUGGUGAAGCUCGUAAAGUUGGCUUCUCCAAUGGCGAACAUGCUGUCGGUCUUGUAGGAAGCCCAGUUGAUGAGGGCAUUCAUCAAUUCCUCCACCAGAUUCACGAAUCUUGACGUCUCCGAAACUUCUCCUGCAUUGUAUAAGAUUUGGUAGAAGGAUAAUUUAUCGCUAUCGUUCGAGAAAGUUGCGUUGGAGUAAGCAAGGAAGCAGCGAUCUCCCCAAGUGGCCGCAUCUUUUGCGGAGGGGCAGCUACUGCGGAGGGUGUCGACGGCGGUGGCGAGGCAAGCUUGGCAUAUGUCUUGAGACACGUCGAGUUGGCAACGCGCCAGGCCGAAGACUUGGUCUGGGGAACGCCCUGCAGACGUGUUCGCGGAGCCGGUGGAGACGGUGGCCGAGGUGAGGGAUGGGAGGAGGAGGUUGAGGUUGGAAUGGUAGGUGCUGUUGGUGGUAAAGUUGGAGUCUGUGGAACACCUUGCCAAUGAUGCAUUGUGGCGUGCGUUAUAGAGGGAGAGGAGGAAGAGAAGCUGCGCAAGUAUCCGGAAGUAAUUCCAGGAAUGCAUCGUGCAACUGGUUGUCCUCCGUUGUUUUUGGGAUGCCGUGGAGAGAGCAUGGAGAGAUGUAGCUUACUAUAUAUAAUAUCUUUGGAGCAAAGAUUAAUUUGCAUGGUCGCCGUAGUUUGUUUCAUUGUCGUACCGUGCAAUACACACUAGAAAACGUUGCACACAAAUGAUUUACUCAGUGGGGUGGAAUUGGUCCAUGACAAGUUACGUUCAGAGAAAUUUAUUUCAUAACAAUGAUGGUCAUAUAAAGUUAGAUGACCGAAGAAUACGUGACAAUGGCUCGUUGUUCCUUUGAACGGCCACUUCGUUCAAAUGUAGAGGGAUCCGAGUCAAAAGGACUAGAAGGGGAUUCCUGUGAUUGAAGUGAUGCGAGUCUUGUUGACUUUGUUUCCACGCGUAGGACGCACUGACGCGGAUCAACAACACUACAAUUUCUUAUCGAACGAAGACUCCCCAGCAAGAGAUGAUUUCGACAAAACACCCAUUUAAUGCAAGCGGCAAAAUACUUCUUUCUUCCUUACGUGUCUUUUGGGUAAGUAUCAAAAGGCAUGUUUUUCCUGACCAAGAAACGUGUAUGUUCGUUGAUAAAGAGGGAAGAAAAACAUAAUUAAAUUUAAGAAAGAAGAGAUUAAUCGAACAAUCUCGCUUGCAUUCCCAGCAUACUCUCCCCUCCACUAAGGUGCAAUUAAGCAACAACAAUCUUAACUCGUAAAUUUUACUGUUGUGGCAGUUUCCGAUUAAGUUUCUUCCUUUUUUAUAUCUAAAUCUGGUCAAGAUUCUAAGAUUUAUAUAUUGUAAGAUAAGUCGGCAACCGUGUUUUUGCAGAAAGAUUUUGUCAGAGAGACAAAGUGAGCACUCUUUGCACAGGCAUAGCACGUAACUAAGAACCCUUGGCACGAGGUGUCAUUUCGGAUAUGACAGUCAAACCCAUAUGUUAAAGGCAGUCAUGCGACUCAUAAUUUUAUUAUUUUAUCCGACAUAUUGACUAUGAUCAUCUUUUCAUUUCAAGAAGAGAUAAUGGCUAGCUAGCCAUUGCCUUUCGAAUUUGCUUGUUAUCAUAUCUAAUACAGCAUACUUUGGACUGUUGCAAACUGAGUUGGGCUGAUUGAGCCAAUCCAUAUUUGGGCCCUAAUCCAAAAAAUAUAGGUGAUUUGAGCCGGCAAUGCCUCGAUAUUCCUCCUCUCACAUUGUCUCUGAUUUCAGAUUAGGUAUAUAAUUUCAAUCAUUUCAGUGAUAAAGCUUUACUGACGCAGGAAAGCAACAACUGCGUGAAAAUUUUAAUCAUCUUAGUUUAUUUUUUCCCAUCAAACAACCAGUCUUCCAAAGAGGAAGAAGAAUCAUCAACCAAAAUGCAAAAAAGAGAAGUCAACGUUAAUUAAUUAUCUCCUAACAACUAGCAAGAAUGAGGUCAACAUGUAGAUGGGUUCUACGUAGAAUAAUCAAAUAAAAAAAAGGCACCAGAAGUGUAAUGCCUACCACGUUACUUUGCAUUGGACGGUUGCUUCCAUGUCGGAGUUGCAUUCCAACAUUUUGCUUUGAAUUUGGCAAUCAAUAUGUUUAAAUAAGCAUGAUGCAGUAAUUUGGAAGAGUGUUCUGUUCAUACCUUUAGGACAUGUCCACCACAUACCAAUAUGACCUAAUUAAAAUGAUUUAAAAUCAAAAGUCCAUGUACCAACAUGUUUAAAGUGCUUCUACGAAGUCUUUCUGUUUGCAGCGCCUAUUUAUAUCGUCUUUCUUGGCGUCCGAUUCCUACGAGUUAAAGAUGGCGGCAACACGAGCAGUUGCAGCAAUCGUAACAGUAGCAGCUCUCCUUCAUGUAGCCAUCGCCACAAGGUACACAGUCGGAGGGCCGAAUGGAGGAUGGAAUACAAUCACGGACUUGCAGGCAUGGGCAUCAACCAAGAGAUUUGCUCCUGGAGACAGCCUAAGUAAGUUCGCAACCAACAACAUGGCGCUUUCUGUAUAAGACGAUAUCCAAUUUGAUGAAGCCAAUCAAUUUGUAGUCUCUGAAACAAGGUUUCAUUCGUCUCCGCAGUUUUCACGUAUACAUCAUCCCAUGACGUGCUGGAGGUGACAAAGGCAGCCUACGACGCAUGCUCUGCAACCACUCCAAUGGAGUCCCACACCGGCGGCAACACUGCGAUCAAGCUUUCGGCCCCCGGCAAGAGAUACUUCAUUUGCGGGGUGCCGGGCCACUGUGCAGCGGGGAUGAAGCUCGAUGUUGACGUCAUCUCCACCGCCGUGGGAGCUCCACCGCCGAAACACCACUAUCCUCCUGCAGCGCCCAAGUCAACAUCUAACUCGCCUUCCGAGCCUCCCAUGGUUGCACCAUCGAGAGCCCCUUCGGCUUCAUUCCCACCGAUGAGUCACGCGCCAGACGUUGCGCCUUCCAUGACAUCUGCAGCUCGCGGUUGCAAGCAGUGCGCGAAUCUUGCCGUGGGUCUGGCAAUGGGAGUUCUGUUGAUUUUGGCUGCGUGAGGGAAAAGCUGACCAGUGAAAUCAUGUUUUGUGAGCCAUGGGAACUAUACUUUCACUUUUCAUUUCAUUUCGUUGUGUAAAUGAGGACGACCAUUAUUGCAGGUAUGCUUACCAAAGAUGCUCGGGAGAUCUUAUCCCAUGAGUCUAAGUUAAACUAAUUAAUAUUAAUAUACAACAGAUUUGAUAUUGACUCUCGUAUUAUAUUAAUAAUUAAAUAAUUAUAUAUCUAAUUUAAAUUAAUUAGGAUAUAUAUAUAUAUAUAACAUAAAAUUAUGAGGGUUUGGUUCGAUCAAGUUUGUAAUAUUCCGAUUAAUUUCAUAUUAAAAUUGGAUAAUAUAAAGAUUGAGAGUCUAGUGAAUAUAUUAUUAUCAAUUUAAGUAUUUUGAUAAGUGAUUUUGAUUAAAUAAAAUUGAUAGAUCAGUUAAUUCAUCAAACUCAAGUCAUGACAAAAUUAAUAUUAAAAAUAAUUUAUAUCGUUCGGUCUGAUUGAAGUUUAUCAAGUGAAAAGAUCCAAUCAAAAUUUUCAUUAUAUCUCUUCCUUCUAAAUAUUAAUGGAAUUUAAAAACUUAAAUUUGCUGAAUUACUAGUCAAAUUAUAUGAGACGCAUGGAUGUUGUGGACUUCUCUUAUUUUCCUUUCGUUUUGGUGCCAAAUUAUAUUGCCUAAUCUAAACUGAAAAAUAACACCAUGGUCCUAUUAUUUUAUUCAUUAUCGAAUCAAAUCCUUAAUACAUCAUAUAUACAUGUAUUAGGUCAGUUUUCGAUUAUCCUAUAUAGAAGUUGACUAGAUCUAAUUUGAUUUUUUUUUCGAUUUCAAGUUGGAUCAUCUUGUGGAAGCAUCCAAAUCACGUAGAAACUACAUCAAAAUUAUUUUAAUAUGAGAACCUUAGCAGCAUAAAUGUUGUAAUAAAAAGACAUCACAAAAGUAGAAUAUUUUAUCAAUUCGCACAUAUGUUGAGAAUUUAUCAGCGUUGUUUGUUAGAUAAGCGUGAUUUGAUAUACCGAGUCCAAUUAGUAUGGGUGAUGCAUCACUUCGAUAUGACAUUCAAAAGAAUAUUUUUCUUUCAUUUAAUCGAUGGUUAUACAAAGAAUCCUUCCCUAGUAUAUCUUGAGCAUUUUGAAUUUAUAUAAUUAAGAUAGAUAUGUCUAACUGAUCAUAAAUAUUAUUUCUCACAAUGAACAGACUUAAUAACAAACACUUUUUAAGUUGGAUACUAGAUAUAGAUAUUUUCGUAUCCUCAAAUAAAAUUUGCCUCUAAUAAGUAUAUAUAUAUAUAUUUAAUUGAACAAUACUAAAUAAUUUCUCAUGAGUCAAUAUGAUCGAAUUAAAUACUGACUUAUUAGACCCAUGGUGUUCCUCAAUGGGAGGGAGCAUGGAUAAAGAUUAUUCGUUUAAGAGCGAUGGAAUCAUAUUGAAGUGAAAGUGAAAAAAAGGAUAAAAAAAACAAAGGGGAGGAGGUGGACGCUCAUCAUCCAACGGUUUGGUUUGCCUUAGAGAAGAGAUCUCUCUAGUGUAGGCCCGAGCCGUCAGAGGUUCAUGAUCCAAAAGCCAGGAGCCACCCUGGAUCCCUCUUAAGAAGGAAAGCAGAAUGGUCUGGGUGCUCGAGAUCCAUCGCCAACCUCAGAGAUAUCAUCCAUGGGAACAAGAAGCACCUUGACAAGCCACCAAGUUAGCAGUCCGAGGUCCAUAGGGAGUAGCGAGUUCUUAAACCCACUCGCCCACGAGUCAAGCCACCAAGUUGCAGUCCGAGGUCCGUAGGGAGUAGCGAGUUCCUAAACCCACUCGCCCACGAGGUCAUUGUCGACCAGUUCAGGCGUGAGCCAACGAUAAGUACCGGAUACGGAGCCUGCCAUGAGGAUGAGGCAAGACGGCACUAUUCUCUGCUCUGCUCCUGUAUAACCCUUCUUGUAGAAGGGCCACCAGCACUCCAACCGGAAAUGCUUCAUCUCUCGCUACUGCUUUGCUUGGAAAUCAUGUUCACCAUGCUGCUUCAACACCAAGGUUCUCUCAUCAGACAGAUCUGCAGAAGUCCUCUGCUGCUGUGACCUGCCAAAAAAUUAGGGAGAAGUUUGUGAAGCGGGAGAGUUUGGAGGCACACCAUCUGUCCAAGCAUGCAGGGAUUAUGUUAAUCCUAUUUCAUGGCUUGAAACCCAGCUGGUUGACGAUUUUUCAUGUUUCCUAGAAUUCUUUUCAUUUCUUUCUCGCAUCACCAUCUUUUCUCGAAGAAGAUAUCUCUGACUUGACUGCGAUUCUCUUCCAUAUCUAGUCAGUGAACUCGUGGAAGGCGACUCCUCCAGAAAGAUAGUAGAAAUAAUAUGCAGAACAGGCUGGUCGAAGGCCGAGCGCAGUUGCCGUCGGAUUAAGAGGGUGCUGAAGGUCCACAACAAGCAAAAGUCUCCUGCUCGCUUCGAGGAGCACAGGGAAUUGGUCAGAACAAAAGCCAGAAAACUCCCGAAGAAACACCGCAGAUGCUUGGCCGACGGCAACGAACUACUAAGGCUCUGGCACCACCAUUGCCUGUUCUCUUGGCAUGACGGGCGGCUCUUCGAGCCUUUGCGCAUCGGAGAGACAUGGAUUCUCCACGGAGAAGGAACCAAGGGAGGGAUCGUGGGGAUGGAGGAAGGAAAUGAUAAAAACAGAAUAUUAUAAUGUAAGUAAAAAGAAUCCUUUCGAUUAAGAAUAUCGAUGUAAUAUUUAAAAUAAGAAGAUUGACAUAGAAUAUUUAUAAAAUAUUUUCAAGUGUAUUGUCUUUAUCUUGUUUCAUGAACUAUAGUCAUAUUUAUAGGACCUAGUGGUAACUACCUCACUCCAUCAUGUCACCCAUGAUUAAGUGUAGGAACUACCUCAUGGGCCACUUCUUAACACAUGCAUAUAACUACCCAGAACAUGAUAACUGCCUAGAUAACUAUUAUGAAUCAAUUCUCAACACUCCAUCUUCAUUCAUAGUUACAUACACCAAUUUGUGACAUGAAAUAGACAUGCUUUUGAACUGGAAGCGACUUGGUGAAGAUAUCUGUAACUUGUUCAUCUAUUUCACAAUACUUCGUUGCUAUGGUUCCACUUGCUAUAAGAUCCCGGAUGAAAUGAUAGCGUAUCUCUAUAUGCUUCGUUCUUCAAUGAAAUGUUGGAUUCUUCGUCAUUGUAAUUGUGGCUUUGUUGUCACAAAAUAUUUCUGUUGUUUCUUUUUGUUCUUGAUGAAGAUAUUCAAGAAGUCUUCUAAGUCAUAUUUCUUGAUAAGCUGCUGAUGUUACGGCUAUAUAUUCUGCUUUCGAUGUCGAUAAUGUAGUUGUUGCUUGCUUUUUUGAACUCCAAGAUAGCUCUUGAUCCGAGGCUAAAAAUAUUACCUAAAGUACUCUUUCUAUCAUCUAAAGCUCCUACCCAAUCACUACCAGUGAAACCAAAUAAUUUACAUUUAAAAUUAUGAGAAUACCAAAUACCAUAAUCUGUAGUUCCAACAAUAUAACGCAGAAUUUUUUUAAUAGCUCCGAGAUGAUGUUUACUUGGGCUAUGCAUAAACCUGGAUACUAUACCAACAGAGAAGGUAAUAUCUGGUCGAGUAUGAGUUAUAUAAAUUAAACCUCCAACCAAACUUCUAUAGUAUCUUGCAUUUGUCAGAUAUAUACCAUCUUCAAGUUUCAAUUUCUCAUUUACAUUCAUGGGUGUUGUUAUAGCUUUGCAAUUAAUCAUGUUAGAUUUUUUGAGUAGAUUUAUUGAAUACUUUCUUUAUGAAAUAAAAAUUCUUUAUGAUCCUUACUUCACUUCCAACCCAAGAAAAUAGUGUUGUAGGCUUAAAUAUGAUAUUUCAAACUUAUUCAUCAUGCAUUUUUUAAAUUUUGCUACAAAAGAGUUAGAUGAACCCAUAUAUAUAAUAUCAUCAACAAAAAGGAAAACCAUUAGAAUAUUAUGUUCACCUUCCUUCUUUAGAUAAAAAGUAAGUUCAUUAAUGCUCCUCUAAAACUUAUUUUGAUGAAAAUAAUAAUCAAUUUUACUGUAUCAUGCCCUUAGAGCUUGUUUAAGCCUAUAAAGAACUUUUCUUAGCUUAUACAUCCUUUCUUCAUGUAUUUUAACAAAAAAACAUUCAGGUUGAGUAAUAAAAAUCUCUUCGUGUAAAUCACUAUUUAAAAACAUAGAUUUCACAUCAAAUUGAUAAACAUGCAAACUCAUGUGAGCAGCUAAAGCCAAGAAAGUUCUCACGGUUUCAAAUCUAGCAACUGGAGAAAAAGUAUCAUCAAAAUCAAUACAUUGUUGCUGUGAAUAUCCUUUUGCUAUAAGCUGAGCUUUAUGCUUUUGGAUACUUCUAUCCGCAUUAAACUUUGUUUUGAACACCCAUUUUAAUCCAAUAGCUUUCUUUUCUUUCGGUAGAUCCAUUAGCUCCUUAAAAGUUAUAGGAUAUGAAAUAAACAAAGCAAAUGUUGAGUCAUAAAUUUUUGUUAGUGAUCUGAAAUUUCUUGGAAGAGUUUCAUCUGAGAAAUCAAAAUUUAAACUGCUAUUAGGUGAGGUUGACAAUGAACUUAUUGGAGUAGGAUCUGUCAUUUGAUUCUGUGGAGUAUCUAGUUCUGUUGGAAUCUGAAUUUAUAUUCCACCUUUAUUUAUCUCUCAAUUUUAACUUGCUCUUUCAUCAAACACAACAUUUAUGUUAAUAAUAACUUUACUACUAACAUAAUUAUAUAAUCAAUAUGCUUUGGAUCGUAAGGAAUAACCAAUUAAGAUACAUUUUUUAGUUUUUUAAUCAAACUUGUGAUGAUUUUGUAAAUUCAUCAUAGCAUAAGCAAUAUAUACCCAGCCUCAAAAUGAGUUUGAUUUAUAACAGACUUUGUUGGUGAAAUAUUCAACAAAUAAACUGUUGUUGCAAUUACUUCUGCCCCAAACUAAUUUAGAAGGUGUUUUCCUUUAAAUAACCUUCUUGUCAUUUCAACGAUAGUUCAAUUCUUACGUUCAGCAACACCAUUUUGCUCCGGUGUAUAUGGUGUUAUCAAUUCUCUAUAAAUAUUAUUUUCUUCACAAAAAAAAUAAACUCAUUAGAUAAAAAUUCACCACCUCUAUCUGUCUGAAGUGUCUUUAUAUAUCUACCACUUUACCUUUUUACAAGUGCCUUUAAUUUUUAAAAAUUAUCAAAUGUUUCAUAUUUUAGUUUCGGAAAAUAUACUCAACUUAUGUGACUACAAUCAUCAGUAAACAAUAGAAAAUAUUGACUUUCACCAAAUGAUUUUAUAUUCAUAGGUCCACAUAAGUCAACAUGAAUUAAUUCAAGACAAUUAGAUGCUCUCCAUGCUUUUCCAAUAGGAAAUGAAUUUUUACUUUGUUUGUCAUUAAUGCAUCCUUCACGUACAUCAAGUCUAUUAAUUUUAGGCAAUCUAAAAAUCAUUCCUUUUUUAUUUAACAACCUUAAACCCUUAAUGUUAAGGUAUCUAUAUCUUAAAUGUCAUAAAUUAGACUCAUUCUUUUGAGUUGUGACAAGUGCAUAUUUUUCAAUAUUUGAAAUAUCAAGUGGAAACAUCUUGUUUUGCGUCAUGCAAAUAUUUACCAUAAUCAAACUAAUUUUUUUAUCUUUAAUAGUUCAUAAAUCAUCAUCGAAUAUAACUGAAAAUCCAUCAUCUAUCAAUUGGCCAACACUCAACAAGUUAUGUAAUAAUUUGACUAUAUCAAGAAAACAUUAUCAAGAUAUUUUACCUUCCCUUGAUUUGUCUUCACCUCAAUUGUUCCUUUCCCUUCCACUUGGAUUUGCUUGUUAUCUCCAAGUUUAACUUUCAACUUAUGAGUUUCAUUAAUAUCUCUAAACAUUGAUUUUAUGCAUGACAUAUGAUUAGAACAUCUACUAUCCAAAAAUCAAAUAUCAUUUGAGAUAUCAUUAACUUGUGAAUGAGUCAUAAAUAACUUACUAUUUUUUUCAUUUUCCUCCAUGUGGCCAAAUUUUUUAUAAUAGUGACAUUGAAUUCCUUAUAAUUUUUUUAUCAUAAUUUGAUUGCAUUUGUUCAUCAUGCCCAUCAAAGUGUCCACUUCCUCUUCCUCUUCAAUUUCCUCUACCAUGAAAUCCUUCUCUAUCACAUCCUCUUCCUACUGAUUUUUUAUCUUCUUUUGAAGUAGAAGACUCCCCUUAACCUAAAAUAUUUUUCUUCACUUUUCUCAAGUGACAUGUUCAACCUUGCUUCAUGUGCUUCCAAGGAACUCAUUGGUUCAUCAAAUGAAAAUAUAGAUAAAUCUUUUGACUCCUCAAUUACGGCAACAAUAUGAUCAAAUUUCAAAGUUAAACUUUUCAAAAUUUUUGCAACAAUUAUAUGAACAGGAAGAUGUUUACCAUAAGAUUUUAUUUGACUAACAAUUUCAGUCACUCGAGAAAGAAAAUCUUGCACCGAUUUAUUGGUUUUAAUGGACAAAAUUUCGAACUUACAAUGAAAUGUUUGAAGUUUUACCAUAAUCACCCUUAAUGAGCCUUAAAAUUCAUUUUGAAGUAUCAACUAAGCUUGCUUUGAUGAUAGGGCAAUUGCUCGAGCAAGAAGGAUCGCGACCGUCGUUUCCUAGCCAGUGAACCACCCCUUCAUUGUUGAUACCGUCGGUGACGCUGCCCUAACCGCCCUGCCAUCGUGCCCCCCCUAGGUUGUAGCCGUAGUCGCCGGUUGCCUCCCUCCUCGUGGCGAUCGAAAUAGGGUAACUCGCCGAUUGCCCUUGUUCCCAACCGUGCCACCACCACUUCUCUUCCCCAUCGGACGUCAUAGCGUCGUUGCCUCCUAACCGAACCACCACCAUUGCCAGCCACCGUGUGACGACCAUCGCUCGCCUCCCAACCGUCGCUCCCCCUUGCUUUUCAUCCUUGGUGAUAGAAACAUGGCAAUCACCUUUGCUGCCGCAGUCGCCAAUCCCUCUACUACUGCAUACACUGGUUGCCACCACUAUCGUCGCUACUACCCAGCCAGCGACGACGCCGCUCGCCACCCAGCCAUGAUCCUCACAGCCUCCCCCUUGCUCUGGUGACAGAAAUAUGGCAAAUCAUUGAUUGCCCUCGUUUCUCGUAGUGCCACCGUCGAUUCCUAUUCUCCACUGUAGCCUCAACCUGGGCCACUUCAAUGCUACCUCCCUCUUGUUCUGCCUCCACUGCCACAGUCGUCGGUUGCCAUCACCACAGCUUCAACCCAACUGUUUAGCGAUCGAUCCCUUAGGUCACAGUAGUUCCAAUCGUCGCCUUCCAGCCCCCGACGCUCUCAUCUCACACAGUGGCUGAAACACAUGGCAGCACCUCUUCCUCCUCGCAGUGACCGCAGCACUGCCCUUGGCGUCCGUUUCCUCAGCAGCUUCGCAUCCACAGUCCAGAUGCCCUUGACCAAACAUCAGAAAUAAGAACUGGGGAUUACCGAUUUGCAAUCAUAUACAAUGGCUGCCAAUAACUUAGUGAAAGCACAAAUUGAAGCAUUGGAAACCAGAAUUGAGAAUCGGCUAUAAGAAACCCAUCACGAUUUCAAAAAGAGCUUGUUGGAGCACUUUAGCGGGUUUCAACAUGAUGGGAGCUCAAGUUCUACGUUGAACAGAUUUGGAGGUACAAGAAAAAUGCCCUAGGAUUAUGGCACACACUACUCACACAUUAAGGUAGAAUUUUCAUGAUGGGAAGAGGGGGAUUCGACCAGUUGGAUCUCUUGGGCGGAAUUUUUUUUUUUUUUUUCAUAAAGCCCCAGAAGAAUCCAAGGUAGAAGUAGCCUCAAUCUAGCUCAAUAGAGAUACAAUCCAAUGGUACGAUUGGUUUGAAACUUGCCACGAAGUUCCUUCAUGGGAACAGUUCAAAAGAGGGCUCCUUGUUCUCUUUGGCCCAUCCGAAUAUGAUAAUGUUGAUGGUCAGCUCAUCAAAAUUCGUCAGACUUCUACAGUAUUGGAAUAUCAUAGUAGGUUUGAAAGAUUAUCAAAUCAAACUAAAGAUUGAUCAGAAUUAUAACUUUUGGGUACAUUUAUUGAAAGGCUUAUUCUAGAGAUCCGAUAUGAAGUUAAGGCUCGUCAACCCUGCACUAUGAUAGCUGCGAUUUCAUUUGCAUGCCUACAUGAGGAAAAAAUCAGUAUGGAAUAUUGUCGAAACAGAGGUGCCAAUAAACAAGUGAUCAUCAGGCAGCCCAACCCAUCUACUCCCAAUCGAAAUCCUAACACUCGCAGACUAACCCGAGAAGAACUCAAAGAAAGGUCAACGAAGGGUUUGUGCUGGCAUUACGAUGAAAAGGGUUUGUGCUGGCAUUACGAUGAAAAGUGGAGUAAGGGUUUGUGUUGGGUCUGUGCCUACGACAAGGAUGCCGUGGUUUGGUAUGACGAGUGCCUCCUCCGCUUUUCCAACCUGCAGUUCCUCAGCACCUCAGACGACGACCCGACGACUGCCUUGGAAAACGAGAUCGCCGUAAACGACGAAGCGGAUCGGUUCAACAAGGUGG